rnacentral:rRNA from 1 species
GGUUUGAUCAUGGCUCAGGACGAACGCUGGCGGCGUGCCUAAUACAUGCAAGUUGAACGCUAAAGCUUUAACUGGUGCUUGCACCGACUUAAGUUUUUAGAGUAGCGGACGGGUGAGUAACACGUGGGUAACCUGCCCAUCAGAGGGGGAUAACACUUGGAAACAGGUGCUAAUACCGCAUAAUUCCUUUUACCGCAUGGUAAAAGGCUGAAAGGCGCUUCUGGUGUCACUGAUGGAUGGACCCGCGGUGCAUUAGCUAGUCGGUGGGGUAACGGCCUAC